UGGGGAAUAUUGCGCAAUGGGCGAAAGCCUGACGCAGCAACGCCGCGUGCGGGAUGAAGGCCUUCGGGUUGUAAACCGCUUUCAGCAGGGACGAAACUGACGGUACCUGCAGAAGAAGCCCCGGCUAACUACGUGCCAGCAGCCGCGGUAAUACGUAGGGGGCUAGCGUUAUCCGGAUUCAUUGGGCGUAAAGCGCGCGUAGGCGGGCUGUUAAGUCAGGUGUGAAAACCGGGGGCUCAACCCGCGGCCUGCACCUGAAACUGGCAGCCUCGAGUCUGGUAGAGGAAAGUGGAAUUCCCAGUGUAGCGGUGAAAUGCGCAGAUAUUAGGAGGAAUACCAGUGGCGAAGGCGACUUUCUGGACUUAUACUGACGCUGAGGAACGAAAGCGUGGGGAGCAAACA
rnacentral:rRNA from 1 species